CAGGCUUAACACAUGCAAGUCGAGCGGGCGAGGUUGCUUCGGUAACUGAGCUAGCGGCGGACGGGUGAGUAAUGCUUAGGAAUCUGCCUAUUAGUGGGGGACAACAUUCCGAAAGGAAUGCUAAUACCGCAUACGCCCUACGGGGGAAAGCAGGGGAUCUUCGGACCUUGCGCUAAUAGAUGAGCCUAAGUCAGAUUAGCUAGUUGGUGGGGUAAAGGCCUACCAAGGCGACGAUCUGUAGCGGGUCUGAGAGGAUGAUCCGCCACACUGGGACUGAGACACGGCCCAGACUCCUACGGGAGGCAGCAGUGGGGAAUAUUGGACAAUGGGCGAAAGCCUGAUCCAGCCAUGCCGCGUGUGUGAAGAAGGCCUUUUGGUUGUAAAGCACUUUAAGCGAGGAGGAGGCUACCGAGAUUAAUACUCUUGGAUAGUGGACGUUACUCGCAGAAUAAGCACCGGCUAACUCUGUGCCAGCAGCCGCGGUAAUACAGAGGGUGCGAGCGUUAAUCGGAUUUACUGGGCGUAAAGCGUGCGUAGGCGGCUUCUUAAGUCGGAUGUGAAAUCCCUGAGCUUAACUUAGGAAUUGCAUUCGAUACUGGGAAGCUAGAGUAUGGGAGAGGAUGGUAGAAUUCCAGGUGUAGCGGUGAAAUGCGUAGAGAUCUGGAGGAAUACCGAUGGCGAAGGCAGCCAUCUGGCCUAAUACUGACGCUGAGGUACGAAAGCAUGGGGAGCAAACAGG
rnacentral:rRNA from 1 species